rnacentral:rRNA from 1 species
AUAGACCGCUGGCGGCAUGCCUAACACAUGCAAGUCGGGCGAGCGGAGGACGGGUGCGUAAUGUAUGAGGAUCUGCCUGAUGGAGGGGGAUAAGUACUGGGAACGGUAGAUAAUACCGCAUACCAUCAGAUGAACCCAUAUGGGAUUCGUUUGUAGGUAAGGUAAAGGCUUACCUAGGCGACUAUCCCUAGCUGGUCGGAGCGGAUGAUCAGCCACACUGGGACUGAGCCACGGCCCAGACUCCUACGGGAGGCAGCAGUGGGGAAUAGUGCACAAUGGGCGCAAGCCUGAUGCAGCCAUGCCGCGUGUAUGAAGAAGGCCUUCGGGUUGUAAAGUACUUUCAGUCGGGAGGCGUUACCGACAGAAGAAGCACCGGCUAACUCCGUGCCAGCAGCCGCGGUAAUAC